rnacentral:rRNA from 1 species
AUACGUAGGUGGCGAGCGUUGUCCGGAAUGACUGGGCGUAAAGGGUGCGUAGGCGGCCGAUCAAGUUAGUAGUGAAAUACCCGGGCUCAACUUGGGUGCUACUACUAAGACUGAUUGGCUUGAGUGUGGGAGAGGUAAGUGGAAUUCCUAGUGUAGCGGUGGAAUGCGUAGAUAUUAGGAGGAACACCGGCGGCGAAGGCGGCUUACUGGACCACAACUGACGCUGAGGCACGAAAGCGUGGGGAGCAAACAGGAUUAGAUACCCUGGUAGUCCACGCCGUAAACGAUGGAUACUAGGUGUAGGGGGUUUCGACGCCCUCUGUGCCGUCGCAAACGCAAUAAGUAUCCCGCCUGGGGAGUACGGCCGCAAGGUUAAA